rnacentral:rRNA from 1 species
AAUGGGCGCAAGCCUGACCCAGCAACGCCGCGUGAGGGAAGAAGGCUUUCGGGUUGUAAACCUCUGUCCUUGGUGACGAAACAAAUGACGGUAGCCAAGGAGGAAGCCCCGGCUAACUACGUGCCAGCAGCCGCGGUAAUACGUAGGGGGCGAGCGUUGUCCGGAAUUACUGGGCGUAAAGGGUGCGUAGGUGGCCUUUUAAGUUGGAUGUGAAAUACCCGGGCUUAACUUGGGGGGUGCAUCUAAUACUGGAGGGCUAGAGUGCAGGAGAGGAAAGCGGAAUUCCUAGUGUAGCGGUGAAAUGCGUAGAUAUUAGGAGGAACACCAGUGGCGAAGGCGGCUUUCUGGACUGUAACUGACACUGAGGCACGAAAGCGUGGGGAGCAAA